UCUUCCCCUAGAAGCUGGUUUCAUAUGGUGGUUUAGAUGUGUGUUCCCAUUGUCUAGCACCAUUUGAAAUCAGUGUUCUUGAGGA
rnacentral:pre_miRNA from 1 species